rnacentral:misc_RNA from 1 species
GAAAUGCGAUAAGUAAUGUGAAUUGCAGAAUUCAGUGAAUCAUCGAGUCUUUGAACGCACAUUGCGCCCCCUGGUAUUCCGGGGGGCAUGCCUGUCCGAGCGUCAUUGCUGCCCUCAAGCACGGCUUGUGUGUUGGGCCCUCGUCCCCCGGGACGGGCCCGAAAGGCAGCGGCGGCACCGCGUCCGGUCCUCGAGCGUAUGGGGCUUCGUCACCCGCUCUGUAGGCCCGGCCGGCGCCUGCCGACACCAUCAAUCUUUUUUCCAGGUUGACCUCGGAUCAGGUAGGGAUACCCGCUGAACUUAA